UGGGCCUGGGGAACUAGAAAAAUAACGCCAAGCACGUCGACCCGCCAUGGGAAAACCUUUGGCCUGGGGAAUCUCUUAACUGGCUGAGGUGCUAGACAGCGUUUCGCGUUGUAAGGGAAGGGCCUACCGAGAUAGAGAAGUGUCGGCGGAAUCUUGGAAAUGAUGAGAUCGGAAUAACGAGAAUGGUUUGCGUGACAUCUCUGUAACCUGGCAACCAAGGAGAGUGGACUGGAAUGGGUAUGCGUGAACAGUGAGGACUUCACUGUACUAGUCAGUGGGGACAGCAGAUAUCUUUGAGUGAGCAUGCAUACUACGUGGCCAUCAAAUUCAAAAUGACUGAGAAAGUAGAGCAACGUAUCUGCAUCAAAUUUUGCGUUAAGCUUGAACGCUCCACCGCAGAAACUAUUCAGAUGAUUCAGAAGGCUUUUGGGGACAAUGCAAUGAGUGCAGAGCAAAUAAAAGUGUGGCACAAAUGCUUCAAAGAUGGUCAAGAAUCUGCUGAAAGUGAUCCACAUUCUCGAAGGCCUGCAACAAGCAGAACACCUAAGAACGUUGAACAUGUACGGGCCGGAAUCAACAAAGAUCGGCGGCCAAGGUGACUCAGCCUCCCUACAGCCCAGAUUUGGCACUCUGGGACUUCUGGCUUUUCCUAAAACUAAAAUCACCUUUGAAAGGGAGGAGAUUUUGGAAAAUAUGAUGGGGCCGCUGAUGGCGAUUCCAACAAAGGAUUUUACAGUGUUUUGAGCAGUGGAAGAGAUGCUGGGAGAACUGUGUGAGGUUCCAGUGCCUACUUGAAGGGGACUGAGGUGUCAUUGUCCUGUGUGCAGUGUUUCUUGUACCUUGUAUCUUCUUCAGUAAAUGUCUCUAUUUUUCAUGUUACGUAGCUGGAUACUUUCUGUACAGACCUAGUAUACUGUUUUGCAGGAGUACAUUAAGUAAAUCAUUUACUUAAUUUAUCAUGAACAUCUCCCCAUGUCAUUUAAUAUUCUUCUUCAAUAUAUAAUUCUAUCAUGUGAGUGUGCCUUUGGGUAUUACCAUAUUUUUCUAACUAUAAGACACACUUCUUUUCCCUCCAAAUUUGAGAGGAAUAAUGGGUGUUAAUGCUGCUCUUGAGUUCUGUUUAUAUUUACAUUGGUGAAAUAUUAUGUCAUUAAAUAUCUUACCACA